rnacentral:rRNA from 1 species
AUGAACGCUGGCGGCGUGCCUAAUCCAUGCAAGUCGAGCGAACAGAUGAGGAGCUUGCUCCUCUGACGUUAGCGGCGGACGGGUGAAUAACACGUGGAUAACCUACCUAUAAGACUGGGAUAACUUCGGGAAACCGGAGCUAAUACCGGAUAAUAUAUUGAACCGCAUGGUUCAAUAGUGAAAGACGGUUUUGCUGUCACUUAUAGAUGGAUCCGCGCCGCAUUAGCUAGUUGGUAAGGUAACGGCUUACCAAGGCAACGAUGCGUAGCCGACCUGAGAGGGUGAUCGGCCACACUGGAACUGAGACACGGUCCAGACUCCUACGGGAGGCAGCAGUAGGGAAUCUUCCGCAAUGGGCGAAAGCCUGACGGAGCAACGCCGCGUGAGUGAUGAAGGUCUUCGGAUCGUAAAACUCUGUUAUUAGGGAAGAACAAAUGUGUAAGUAACUAUGCACGUCUUGACGGUACCUAAUCAGAAAGCCACGGCUAACUACGUG